UACGUAGGGGGCAAGCGUUGUCCGGAAUCAUUGGGCGUAAAGAGCGUGUAGGCGGCUCGGUAAGUCCGCUGUGAAAGUCCAGGGCUCAACCCUGGAAUGCCGGUGGAAACUGUCAAGCUUGAGUCCGGAAGAGGCGAGUGGAAUCCUGGUGUAGCGGUGAAAUGCGCAGAUAUCAGGAGGAACACCAAUGGCGAAGGCAGCUCGCUGGGACGGUACUGACGCUGAGACGCGAAAGCGUGGGGAGCAAACAGG
rnacentral:rRNA from 1 species